CCCUUAGAUGUUCUGGGCUGCACGCGCGCUACACUGAUGCGUUCAACGAGUGUAUCACCUUGCCCGAUAGGGUUGGGUAAUCUUUUGAACACGCAUCGUGAUGGGGAUAGAUUAUUGCAAUUAUUAAUCUUCAACGAGGAAUUCCUAGUAAUGAUGAAUCAUCAGUUCAUCGUGAUUACGUCCCUGCCCUUUGUACACACCGCCCGUCGCUCCUACCGAUUGAAUGCUCAGGUGAGCCAUUCGGACUUUCAUCAUGCUGGUUUCCAGUUUUGAUGAAGGAAAGUCUUGCGAACCUUAUCAUUUAGAGGAAGGAGAAGUCGUAACA
rnacentral:rRNA from 1 species